GACGAACGCUGGCGGCGUGCUUAACACAUGCAAGUCGAGCGGUAAGGCCCUUUCGGGGGUACACGAGCGGCGAACGGGUGAGUAACACGUGGGUGACCUGCCCUUAGCUCUGGGAUAAGCCUGGGAAACUGGGUCUAAUACCGGAUAUGACUCCAUGACGCAUGUUGUGGGGUGGAAAGCCUUGUGCGGCUAGGGAUGGGCCCGCGGCCUAUCAGCUUGUUGGUGGGGUGAUGGCCACCAAGGCGACGACGGGUAGCCGGCCUGAGAGGGCGACCGGCCACACUGGGACUGAGACACGGCCCAGACUCCUACGGGAGGCAGCAGUGGGGAAUAUUGCGCAAUGGACGAAAGUCUGACGCAGCGACGCCGCGUGUGGGAUGACGGUCUUCGGAUUGUAAACCACUGUCGGGAGGGACGAAUACGCCGCAAGGCGGGUGACGGUACCUCCAAAGGAAGCACCGGCUAACUCCGUGCCAGCCGCCGCCGUAAC
rnacentral:rRNA from 1 species